rnacentral:miRNA from 1 species
CACUUCAUGGAUAAUAUUAAGUUGGUGCAAAAGUAAUUGCAGUUUUUGCCAUUGAAAACAAUAGCAAAACACACAAUUACUUUUCCACCAACCUAUAGUUCUG